CAGUCGCCGCGGUAAUACGAAGGGGGCUAGCGUUGCUCGGAAUGACUGGGCGUAAAGGGCGCGUAGGCGGCGGCCAAAGUCAGGCGUGAAAUUCCCGGGCUCAACCUGGGAAUGGCAGUGGAUACUGGCAAGCUAGAGUGUGUCAGAGGAUGGUGGAAUUCCCGGUGUAGCGGUGAAAUGCGUAGAGAUCGGGAGGAACAUCAGUGGCGAAGGCGGCCAUCUGGGACAACACUGACGCUGAGGUACGAAAGCGUGGGGAGCAAACAGGAUUAGAUACCCCCGUAGUCCCUGUCUCUUAUAC
rnacentral:rRNA from 1 species